rnacentral:rRNA from 1 species
GAACCUAACGUUGAGAUAAGGUGCCAAAAUUCACGCUCAUGAGAUACCAUAAAAGGUGUUGGUUAGUAUAAACAGCCGGACUGUGGCCAUGGAAGUCGGCACCAGCUAAGGAGUGUGUAACAACUCACCAGCCGAAUUAACCAGCCCUGAAAAUUGAUGGCGCUAAGCGUGAUACCGAUACUCAACCAUUACAAUAAAUAGAAGUUGUAAUGAGUAAGAGGGCGUGAAUACUGUGUAGAAGGCUUGAACGUGAGUUUUGGCUGGAACAGUAUUUAGUGCAGAUCUUGGUGGUAGUAGCAAAUAUUCAAAUGAGAACUUUGAAGACCGAAGUGGAGAAGGGUUCCAUGAGAACAGCAUUUGUUCAUGGGUUACUCGAUCCUAAGACAUAGGGAAAUUCCUUGUAAUAUAUGUAUUCUUACGAAUGCAUUGUCAAAAGGGAAUGAGGUUGAUAUUCCUCAAGCUGAAUGUGGAGGUUUCGUGGC